rnacentral:tRNA from 1 species
AUUUAAAUAGCUUAAUAAUAAAGUUUAAUAUUGAAGAUAUUAAGAUGAUUAAAUAUCUUUAAAUA